rnacentral:rRNA from 2 species
CCCGGGGAUAACAGGCUUAUCUCCCCCUAGAGUCCACAUCGACGGGGAGGUUUGGCACCUCGAUGUCGGCUCAUCGCAUCCUGGGGCUGUAGUCGGUCCCAAGGGUUGGGCUGUUCGCCCAUUAAAGCGGUACGCGAGCUGGGUUCAGAACGUCGUGAGACAGUUCGGUCCCUAUCCGUCGUGGGCGUAGGAAAUUUGAGAGGAGCUGUCCUUAGUACGAGAGGACCGGGAUGGACACACCGCUGGUGUACCAGUUGUCUUGCCAAAGGCAUCGCUGGGUAGCUAUGUGUGGAMGGGAUAAGUGCUGAAAGCAUCUAAGCAUGAAGCCCCCCUCAAGAUGAGAUUUCCCAUAGCGCAAGCUAGUAAGAUCCCUGAAAGAUGAUCAGGUUGAUAGGUCAGAGGUGGAAGCGUGGCGACAUGUGUAGCUGACUGAUACUAAUCGAUCGAGGACUUAACCAAAC